CAAUAGCGUAUAUUAAAGUUGUUGCAGUUAAAAAGCUCGUAGUUGGAUUUCGGGGCCCCGGACGCUCGUUGCGUUGCCUUGUCGGACUUGUCUGGCGGGUGCGUGGCGGUCGUCGGUCUCUGAGUCGGAUCGGUCCGCCGAGAGGCGUGUACUGACCGACGGCCCCUGUUGUCUCUCGGGUUGCCCGCCUGCACUUAACUGUUGCGGACGGGGAGUUCGGGACGUUUACUUUGAACAAAUUAGAGUGUUCCAAGCAGGCCGGUUGCUUUGAAUACAUUAGCAUGGAAUAAUGGAAUAGGGCUGCGUGAUCCGUUGCUCUCGGGUGGCGGGUCCUCGUGUCCUAUUUUGUUGGUUUUCGGGACCGCAGUCAUGGUCAAGAGGGACAGUUGGGGGCAUUCGUAUUCAGUUGUCAGAGGUGAAAUUCUUGGAUUUACGGAAGACGAACAACUGCGAAAGCAUUUUGCCAAGGAUGUUUUCAUUAAUCAAGAACGAAAGUUGGGGGUU
rnacentral:rRNA from 1 species